rnacentral:tRNA from 1 species
GCCGACAUAGCUCAGCAGGUAGAGCAACUGAUUCGUAAUCAGUAGGUCGCGUGUUCGAUUCACGCUGUCGGCU